CUAAAUGCAAUUAAGAGUUAGCUCAGAAAGCUUACAUAAGAAAAUUAAUUACUUAAACAAGAGGCUUGGACCCACAAUAAAUAACGGAAGAUGAGUCAAUGAAGGUGGAACAAGUCCAAAUCUCUGUUGUGAAUAUUCUCAGACCAGGGCCCAAAAUGAGCCCAAGUAUAACAUAAGAGAGGACACUCAAAGGAGUAGUAUCACCCUCUCAGACCCAGCGUUAAGCUCUCAUUGCCUAGGCCAAACGUUAUGAUUCAACGUUCCAAACCAACAAUUGCUUCACCACACGUAAUGGCUAUCAGUGAUACCACAGGAGACCUGAGACUAAGCCUAAUAUAUUUGCUUUUGAGUUUUUAACUAUUCAGGCAUAGAAAAAAUAGGCUAACAUUCUGAAUUCAAUGUUUCUCAAAAUCAGAGAAGUACUUUGGUAAUCAUGACUCACAUUCCAAAUUUACUUGAAUCUACCCUCAAUACAACAGAUGUAACUCCAAACCUACUUGCCAAAACUAGACAUGCAGACAAAGCUCAACUUGGUUAAAUCAACACAAAUGACAAUCUAAGGUUCAACCUCUAACAGAUUCGAAAGGAAAACAGAGCUGAAGCAACAUUAAUCCUCAGCAAAACUAAACAAAGUCCAGAAUACGCAAACAACCAAAUCAAACCUUUGUUGCAACAGUCCUAGAAAUCUCAUGCUAAUAUACAGUGACAAGAACUAAAUUUGCUGAAACAUAACAUUAAGGAGAAAUAUAACUGAAACAUAAAUAGGUUAACACUAUGCUUUAAUCCUCCUUCUUUUCAUUUCAUUUCUUCCAAUCCACAUUCACAAUCAAUAGAGCUUUUACAGUGUGUACCUAGAUACAAACCAAAGAACUACAGAAUUUCAGCAGAGGAGAGUGGUAUCAGCAGUAGUUUGGCAGCAGAAACAACCAGUAAAAUCAACAAUUUCAGUCCAUUUUUGAAAUCCACAACCAGCAAAAUGACAGAUCCUUUUCAAAUUCCAGAAAAUUAGCCCCAAAUUCUAAUUCAAACCAUGCUUUUUUUAAAAAAAAACUCCAAAUGAAUUACAAGUUGCCUCAGACAUUGAAAACUUCAGGAAUCAGUGAAGGGAAUGCAAUGGAAUAGUAUUUUUCCCCUCAAAGAUCUAGCCGUUUUGAUGUUUUCAGAUUCUUAUCUCUUCAGCUCUUCCUUGAAAGGCAAGAUAGAGAUGCCUUUAUAGGCAAGGACUAGGGCAGCCUAUUAGAGACUCAAUUUUGCUCUUAGGCCCCUUUUGAAUUUUCUUUUUUGCUUAUCAACCCCCAGUCAAUUUUUCUUUUUGAUCAACCAACCUUAGUCCAAUUUCAGUUUUAUCAGACAAUUCCCCUUCCCCAGCUUCCUAGAAGCUUUCCUUUCUUGUUACAAAAGAUUCCCCAUUUACAAUAUCCAAUUUACCCAUUAAGCCUCAGUUAUUUACCUUUCAACUCAUGGGUUGACUUAAACCCAAACCCACACCUAACCCAUGAGCUGGACAACCCUCCCCUCCCCUCCCCUCUAUGGGCUCCUGACCUUCGGAUCCCACACCCUAAUUUGAAAUAGUCGAACCCAAAAGCAAACAGGCCGGGAGAGUUAUAAACUCCUGAUAUUGUGAGUCCAAUGAAACCAAAAUUAAACAAAUUUUAGCAAAAUCAAACAAUGACAACAAAUGGCCUAAUAACAAUGGUCGAACUAUGACCCCAAUCUUAACAUACGAGCAAAAUAAAUUGAAAUAGAAUUUAGAAAGAAAAGACAGGAAUCAGAAAUAAACGAAGAGAUGAAAGACACCAAGGAUGGAAACAAGAACAAAAGAGGAGAAAUACCUAAAAGGCCAACAAGCCUGUAUGGACCUCCGACGUCUCUGAUUUAGACCAAAAGUAGUAUUAUCCGCAUGCUCUCCUCGAGAACGAACGGACAAUACUAGUUUCAGUCCAAAUCAUUCUUGAAAAUCUGGGAAAAUUCUCUUUUCUUCUUCUCUCUUUUUAGAUCUAAAAUUAACUGGAUUCGAUGGGGGGUUUUGUAGAGAUUUGCACCAGCAUAGGACUUGAAGAAUUAUGGGGAGUAUGGGGUUGAAUUUUGGUGGUGUCUGGGAGGUCAAUCGCUUGUGAAAAUGGUGGAAUUCCUAAGGCUAUACUAGGGUUGAAGACUGAUAGAGAUGAGAGAGAUGAGAACAAUACAGGGGUGCUUGGGUGGACUGAAUAUUCUCUGAAGUUUCGGACAUUAUUAAGGGUUUGAAGAGAUAUGUUUUGGACCAUUUGAUGCAUCAAAAUGAAU
rnacentral:lncRNA from 1 species